rnacentral:misc_RNA from 1 species
CAAACAAACAGAGCCUAAAUGUAUUUGACACUGUGCACUCACUGGAAAUAGCCUAAGAUAGCAACCAUUAUAUGAAUAGGAAAUAUAGGUUCAGACAGGACCAGUAAUUCCUCAAACUUUUUAUAGCUCAACUCCAGACAGGAACCCACAUCUCGCCGAUGUGUAUGACAAGCUCGUCUAAGGCUUCUACUGACUAGGAGUAUGAUCAAAUGCCUCAUUAACAAGUUCACCUAUCCGCCCCACGUCAAACAUCUGACCAAAUUGUGUAUGCACUGCACAUCAUCUGACGCCUCCUCUAGUUCGCGGCCUCCUCCAGCCCAGGCAUGUUAUUGACUCCGCAGCCGGGGCAUACGUACCGACGCUGCAGCUCCACUGCAAGUGAAGCGUGCACCUUCUCCAGUUCAGCUGCCCGCGUGUUCGAGGUCAAAGAAAGCUUCGCCGAAAGCAUGGGGAAUAUGCGACUAGAAAUGCAUAGGAACAGACAGCUCUGUAUGUUCAGGAUAUUCGCCGAGCUCCUGCAACUGCUUUGUCUCUUCCAUAACAGCCUCCAUAAGAGCUCUCUUUGCUUGGACUUCGGCCAGCUCCUGACGGACCUGCGAACAAAGCACCAAAAUCCUUGGUUUUUGUUAAACUGGCGCCUGGCAGGACAAAAUGUCCUUAAUCACCGAAC